AUGCAAGCUUCAGCAGCACAUAUACUAAAACUGGAAUGACUCCGAGAAGAUUAGCAUGACCUCUGUACAAGUGUGACACCUGAAUUCAUGAAGCGUUCCAUUAUUUU
ensembl:snRNA U6 U6 spliceosomal RNA